rnacentral:rRNA from 1 species
AGACGUCUACAUUAGAUACCCGGGUAGUCCCAGCCGUAAACUAUGCGCGUUAGGUGUAUCGGUGACCACGAGUUACCGAGGUGCCGAAGGGAAACCGUGGAACGUGCCGCCUGGGAAGUACGGUCGCAAGGCUGAAACUUAAAGGAAUUGGCGGGGAGCACCACAACAGGUGGAGCCUGCGGUUUAAUUGGACUCAACGCCGGGAAGCUCACCGGAUAGGACAGCAGAAUGAUUGCCGGGCUGAAGACCCUGCAUGACUAGCUG